AGGUCGGUGGUGUAGUGGUAACGCGUGCCGUGGCUACAGUCGCACCCGAGGUGAGUCCCAGGUUCAAAUCCUAGCCAACUUG